GCGACGGCGCGGAGUGCUGUGCGCUGGUCUGGGCUUUGCUCGGACCGGACCGGGCUUGCUCUCACUUGUCCCUUGGCCGCAAACAGGCCCUGGAGGUGUGGGAUCGAAUCGGAGGUCGGUUCCAGUUUGCCCUGUGAUCACCAGUUCGAUGGAGCUGCUGAGACCUGGUGGCCAAGGAGGCUCCGGGGUGCGUCGCACAGAGCGUGGCCAGCAGGCCUAGAGAAAAAGACGUGAUUCUUUCCAACUGUGGACUGAAAUACCCAGGAGAGGGAAGGAGGAGCUGCACUGGACAAUGGAGAGUAGUGUUUGCUGCAGACCUGUUCUGGAUUUGGGAGGUUCAGAAGAAGAGGUUUCCUUGUCAAAGUGGCUGCCUUGAGAGCUGUCUCAGGUGAUAGCUGCUGUCUAACAGUGACAAAAGGACAUAUAUCAAUAUAUGGUUCAGUGGAGCCUUAGAAUUUCAAGUGCUUUUCAGGACUUGACUCAAAUUCAUUGGCUUUGCAGUCUCACUGGACAUCAGUGGAACCAAAAUAACUAAACUACCCUGGUGUUUUCCUCUGUAAGCUGGGACUUGUCACACCUUUCCUUAAAAGAUUCAUCAUUCUUUGACAAAGCCUGCCUGGAGGGCAGUUAAGAUAAGCACAUCUCUCUCUCCUCUGUCCCCACUUCUGUCUCCAGUGAGCCGACAUUUUUGGAAGAGGAGGGCAGUGUUUGUGUGGCUCAGGUGUCAAAGGCUGCGGCAGUCAACUUAAGACAUUUUACUUUAAGUUUGAAAUCCAGAAAGAAAAAGAAGAAUACCAACAGUGGUCUUAUCUUUGAGCGUGGCUCCAAAGAUGAUGCAGAGAAGCAGCUUUAGGCUGAAAAAGUGACAAAUGGCUUUUUCUCACCAGUGGUGCUGGCAGAGGCAGAUAGCUCACACUCUGCAAGCACUCAUCGUUGCUGAAGUAUUAUCUGCUCUCAGAAAGAUUCCAAG
rnacentral:lncRNA from 1 species